rnacentral:rRNA from 1 species
CAACCUAACCUAUGGACGGGAAUAACCUCGGGAAACUGAGUAUAAUGCCCGAUAGAACACUAUACCUGGAAUGGUUUGUGUUCCAAAUGAUUUAUCGCCGUAGGAUGGGACUGCGGCCUAUCAGUUUGUUGGUGAGGUAAUGGCCCACCAAGACUAUUACAGGUACGGGCUCUGAGAGGAGUAGCCCGGAGAUGGGUACUGAGACACGGACCCAGGCCCUAUGGGGCGCAGCAGGCGAGAAAACUUUGCAAUGUGCGAAAGCACGACAAGGUUAAUCCGAGUGGUUUCUGCUAAAGAAACCUUUUGUCGGUCCUAGAAACACCGAUGAAUAAGGGGUGGGCAAGUUCUGGUGUCAGCCGCCGCGGUAAAACCAGCACCUCAAGUGGUCAGGAUGAUUAUUGGGCCUAAAGCAUCCGUAGCCGGCUCUGUAAGUUUUCGGUUAAAUCUGUACGCUCAACGUACAGGCUGCCGGGAAUACUGCAGAGCUAGGGAGUGGGAGAGGUAGACGGUACUCGGUAGGAAGGGGUAAAAUCCUUUGAUCUAUUGAUGACCACCUGUGGCGAAGGCGGUCUACCAGAACACGUCCGACGGUGAGGGAUGAAAGCUGGGGGAGCAAACCGGAUUAGAUACCCGGGUAGUCCCAGCUGUAAACUAUGCAAACUCAGUGAUGCAUUGGCUUGUGGCCAAUGCAGUGCUGCAGGGAAGCCGUUAAGUUUGCCGCCUGGGAAGUACGUACGCAAGUAUGAAACUUAAAGGAAUUGACGGGGGAGCACCACAAGGGGUGAAGCCUGCGGUUCAAUUGGAGUCAACGCCGGA